rnacentral:rRNA from 1 species
AGGGUUCGAUUCUGGCUCAGGACGAACGCUGGCGGCGGGCCUAACACAUGCAAGUCGAACGAACUCGACCUUCGGGUCAUAUAGUGAGUGGCGAACGGGUGAGUAACACGUGAGAAACCUGCCCCGAAGACUGGAACAACCCGAGGAAACUCGGGCUAAUACCGGAUACCCCCAUCGGAUCGCAUGAUCUGAUGAGGAAAUGCUCCGGCGCUUCGGGAGGGUCUCGCGGCCUAUCAGCUAGUUGGUGAGGUAACGGCUCACCAAGGCAACGACGGGUAGCUGGUCUGAGAGGACGAUCAGCCACACUGGGACUGAGACACGGCCCAGACUCCUACGGGAGGCAGCAGUGGGGAAUAUUGCGCAAUGGGCGAAAGCCUGACGCAGCCACGCCGCGUGAGGGAUGAAGGCUCUAGGGUUGUAAACCUCUUUAGGCAGGGAAGAAAAUGACGGUACCUGCAGAAUAAGGUCCGGCCAACUACGUGCCAGCCGCCGCGGUAAUU